rnacentral:lncRNA from 1 species
AUGACAUCCCUGAGUGUGUAGCAAGACUCAAGAUCAUGCCCCAAAUAUCUGUGGAACGGGCAAUACUUGGAGUAGUCCAACCCUGAUGGCCAUGGCGUCGGUCUCUCCUUGGCUCAGAACUAAAGGAAAGCAAUCAAUUCUAAUAGUAGGGAAGUGCUGCUAUCAAUCUUCAUAGGCGGCAGGUCAGUCAGCUAUCAAUCGCGACCCAUCCGUCUGUCUUUUUACCAAUUCCCCUCGCUCAACUAUGAGGUAGUCUCUAUCUGUUGAAUCGGAUCCAUAAUCAAAAUAGUUAGUCAGAACCACUGGCACUCAAAUCAGUAACUAUAUUUGUAGCUUGGCCUUGUUCCACACCUCCGGUUUCUAAAAAGAAGUAUUCAAAAUAUGAAUCAAUCGAAAUCUGAAUCGAAAGCCAAAGACCAAUUGAUUACUUGCUGACAGGCUAGUCUUUAUCGUGCACUCGGGAUUCUUAUCUUAAGGGUAUGAACUUCUCCUUCGUACUCUCUUCUGUGCAAGAUGAUUCAAUAGCUUUCCGGAUUAAGCUAAGCCUCGGCAAAACAAUUGAAUGUAUUUCCAAAGUAAAACUUCGCUUUUGUCGUAUAUUAAUAACUAAAUCAGUAUUGCGUAAGUAAGUCGGCAUAUUCAAAAAGGGAAAAGAGAGGAUCAAAAAACCAUCGCCCAAAGGUGCUCAUUGAGCCGGUCACUGGUGGCUAAGAGCCUUUCCUCACUCUAGAAGCCUUCAAAACCACCCACUUUCUUUUCUUGUUCGUAAGGGGAGGAAGAUUUCUUAGAAUAUGACUAUAUGGACGACUGAUGAUCAGUAAGCAGAAGAAAAGCAGAAACAGAACAGAAGCAGAAACCUCCUCAGAUAUAGAAAGCGCAUCUAAAUCGAAUGCCAUUCUGAAUGAGAGUAUGCUGAAGCUAAAUCUUCAAAAAAAGAAGAAUCACACCUGAGUUUCUACCGCCGGCCAGCUUUCAGUGGCCUUUUGCCAUCCCACGAAUUGGAUUCGAACC